UAAUUGCUGCCAAAUGUAACGGUACUGAAACGUUGCGUUUGGCCUUACAGUAUUGCGAACUCACCAUGAAAGUUAUAGUCGCGGUUUUACUAAUUGUUAUACUGGACUUGAAAACGAUUGAUGCAGACCUGGAGGAUGUUAAGCCCCAUGAAGUGAGUAAAGAGGAAGAAGAAAAAGCAUUGGAGGCAAUGGCAAUUGUAGACAAGGAUGGUGAUGGGAAAAUCUCAGUCGCUGAGCUACAAUUGUUAAUGAAAAAAAUAGGAAAAGAUGUCAGCCACGAUAAAGCUGCAGAAAUGCUUAAGAAGGCUGAUAUUGACGGGAACGGUAGCGUCAACGUAUCGGAGUUAAUGCAGUACCUUAAAUGAUCUGUUUGGGAAGAAUUCAAAAAAGCAGUUGAUGAAUUAUUUCCAUUUCUUGAUAAAAAUAAUGAUGGAGCUAUUGAUCGUGAUGAGAUCAAAACCUUUUAUAGAAAAAUGAAACAAGAUUUAAGCGAUGAAGAAGUCAAUGAUAUGUACAAAAAGGCAGUCAAGGACAAGAACGGACAGAUAACCAAAAACGAAUUCUAUUGGAUCCAUUUAAGACACUUCAAGCCACAGCCUCCACAGCCCCCUUCCAAAUCUGUUGUAAGCAAAUUUUUCAGAUGGACAAAAGGCAAUUUCUCUUCAUUGGCAAAAAAGCUCACGAGCUAGAAAUCUUGCACGACAAGCUUCAAAACUAGACAUUGUUCAUUUUUUAAACUAUUUAUAAGAUUUUAAAAAGUGUAUUUUAGUUCGGAAUUUCAAUUAUGAUUUUCCUGGUGGUUUUCAAACUUGUUCUGUCAAGAAAGGCUAGAAAAAUAAAAGUGUGAUAC